rnacentral:rRNA from 1 species
AUUUUGGUCGAUGGGUGGAAGCCUGAUUGAGCCAUCCCUCGCGUGUGAUGAAGGUCUUCGGAUUGUAAAGCACUCUAAGUUGGGAGGAAGGGCAGUAAGUUAAUAUCUUGCUGUUUUGACGUUCCCUACAGAAUAGGCACCGGCUAACUUCUUGCCAGCAGCCUCGGUAAUACGAAGGGUGCAAGCGUUAAUCGGAAUUAUUGGGCGUAAGGAGCGCGUAGGUGGUUUGUUGAGUUGGAAGGGAAAGAACCGGGCUAAACCUGGGAACUGCUUUCAAAACUGGCAAGCUAGAGUAUGGCAGAGGGUGGUGGAAUUUCCUGUGUGGCGGUGAAAUGCGUAGAUAUAGGAAGGAAAAACAGUGGCGAAGGCGACAUACUGGCUAAUUACUGACGCUGAGGCGCGAAAGCGUGGGGAGCAAACAA